rnacentral:rRNA from 1 species
GACGAACGCUGGCGGCGUGCCUAAUACAUGCAAGUAGAACGCUGAAGGAGGAGCUUGCUUCUCUGGAUGAGUUGCGAACGGGUGAGUAACGCGUAGGUAACCUGCCUGGUAGCGGGGGAUAACUAUUGGAAACGAUAGCUAAUACCGCAUAAUAGUAGAUGUUGCAUGACAUUUGCUUAAAAGGUGCAAUUGCAUCACUACCGGAUGGACCUGCGUUGUAUUAGCUAGUUGGUGGGGUAACGGCUCACCAAGGCGACGAUACAUAGCCGACCUGAGAGGGUGAUCGGCCACACUGGGACUGAGACACGGCCCAGACUCCUACGGGAGGCAGCAGUAGGGGAUCUUCGGAAAUGGACGGAAGUCUGACCGAGCAACGCCGCGUGAGUGAAGAAGGUUUUCGGAUCGUAAAGCUCUGUUGUAAGAGAAGAACGAGUGUGAGAGUGGAAAGUUCACACUGUGACGGUAUCUUACCAGAAAGGGACGGCUAACUACGUG